CUUGGUCAUUUAGAGGAAGUAAAAGUCGUAACAAGGUUUCCAUAGCUCAAGUCUAUGAAGAACAGUAAUGUUCCUUCCGCAGAGUACACUUGCAGAAGCCUUAGUGGCCUGAAAGGGUUUCAUCAGCGACUCUAAACAAGUAGGUGGAUUAAACGCUAGUCUCCUUCCAAGAGGCAACACUAUCAAAUUGCGGGAAGAUCCUGUCAGGUCCACAUCACCGCGGCUCACCGAAAGGUGUAGUGCAGCACCAGGCUAACAACCUUGGGUAUGGUAAUAGUAUGUGGAAUAGGGAGAAUCUGCAGCCAAGCCCCUCAUUUGGGGUGCAGUUCACAGGCCAAAUGGUAGUGGGCACUCCGGUGCUUAAGAUAUGGUCGAGUCCCAAUUGAAAAAUUGGGUACAAGUACUCUGAUUGAUUUAUAUACAUUCUAUGCUCAGUCGAAUACAGCUAGUUGUAAAUGCAAAUGUUCCGUAGGUGAACCUGC
rnacentral:rRNA from 1 species